rnacentral:lncRNA from 1 species
AAUGCUGUUUUAAGGGAAGACAGCAAACAACCUAAGGAAUCAUGGCACAUUUGGAUUGUAACACUCCCUCCUUCCUCUGGGAAACAACUCCUCCACAGUAACUGAAUGCUCUGCAGAAUCAAAGGAAGGGAUAGCACAGAAGAAAUGCAGGACAAGGCUUUCUCAGUAUCAGCCCUUCCAACUCAUGAAGAUAAGUGUACCACCAGUGAGGAAGUGGCCAGAAGAGCUCCCCUGAUACACAGGAGACCUUUUGUAGAGCUGCUAAAACAAAGACAGGAAACUCGACACCACAGUCUGCUGAUCCCUGCUUGGUUCUCCUUCUUCUUCAGCUAUUUGCAGCUGACAGAUUCCGUGAUCACUUCCAGCACCAAGAAACUUCCUUGGCAAGAGUUACUGCAUGGUCCCUAAGUUUGUCUUCAAAUGAUCUGAUCAUUAAAAGCCAAAUGUACAGUGACCGGUGGAUUUUUCUACAGUUCAAUUUAAAUCAAAAGCAAUCUCAAAAUAGAAGGUUAUAUUAAAUACAAAGUUAUAUUAAAUCAGACUAACUGAGCUCAGGCAUAGGUUCAUGUAUUGCUCCAGAUAGCUCUGACAGCCUGACCAUAAAUUCUAACAUGAGUGCUUGCUGCUCAGUGUUUACAGUCAUGUGGGAGCCCUACGUUUAUUUUCUAAUCACAAGAGCAGAUGUUCAGCUGAUGUGAAUCAGCAAACCGCCCCCAAAGCCAAAGGAACUACCUUUAAUUUGUACCAUCUGGGGAUCUGUUUUGCAGGCCCUCUUUUUGAAGGCAAAGAAUGCAGUGCGUUAUCUUAGAACUAAUCGCACAGUAGCUUCCAAAAAAAUGGAAAAGGAAAAUAUCUAAAGCUCUUUAACUAGAAGAAAGUCCUCAUUAUGUGGUGUUUCAAAUUCAAACAGGCCAUGUGGGAGGAUAUCCCCAGGACCAUUAUAAUACUUAGGCUCUAAGUAAGCACAGGAAAGAAAGCCUGGUAAAGGACAGCGUUAAACGAGUGAGAGCACUAAAACUAAUUUGGCACAGUGACAUCAACAGGCCUUUGGAUUUAUGAACAUCUGAUAUGGGCCAGCGCUGAAACCAAGCGCGAGAACGUCUCUCAGUAACGUUAGUGCAUUGUACAACAUGAUUACAGUGUCAUAAAUGGAAAGGUGUUGAAUCCUACUGAGUUUUGGACAGCUUAGGACAUUUUAGGCUGAUUUUCAGUUCCGUGCAGUUCAUUGCUCUGAGUAUUUGCGUUGCUAGAAAGUAGGUUUGUAAGCACUGCUCCAGCUAACGGGUAGUUUUUAGAAGUAUAAAUACAUUAGGUUUUUCUCUAAAUAGUGCAAAGCUAAAAUAAAAGUGUAACCAAUGACUCUAAUUUCUAGUUG